rnacentral:lncRNA from 1 species
UGGAUUAAACAGACAUCAAAACAUAUUUGAUAUUGUUGAACACUAUAAUACUAACUGUGUUCGAAGAGCAUGUAAAUAUUAAACUGCUAAUUCAUACAAAUUCUGGUUCUUCAGGAUUUACUUAAAGGGGUUGAGUUUAGUGGCUGGAAGCAUGUUCUUGGCCAAGAAUGAUACAGAAAUAAAAACCUGUAGGUGUUGCAAUUCCUGCCAUGUUGAGUCACAAAUCAUGGUAUCUCCAACAAUGCACUUGGUUGGAGAAAAAGAAGAGCAGUGGUAACAGGCACAACAAGAGAAGGAGACUGAGGUGAGGACUACAAGCUAUCAGAAAACUGUUAGCCUUCUGAUGCGCCACAGUCCAUGUCAGUCCAGUCACCUGCUGCUGCUGUGGCAUGCCACCAUUGUUGCCACUGCACCAUAAGUGAUACAGACACACAGAUGAAGGAGACUGAGGUGAGGACUACAAGCUAGUUAGCCUUCUGAUGCGCCACAGUCCAUGUCAGUCCAGUCACCUGCUGCUGCUGUGGCAUGCCACCAUUGUUGCCACUGCACCAUAAGUGAUACAGACACACAGAUGUGUGUGUGUGUGUGUGUGUGUGUGUGUGAGAGAGAGAGAGAGAGAAGGAGACUGAGGUGAGGACUACAAGCUAUCAGAAAAC